AGCGAACGCUGGCGGCGUGCCUAACACAUGCAAGUCGAACGUGAAACCCCGCAAGGGGGAGUAAAGUGGCGUACGGGUGAGUAACACGUAGGUAAUCUACCAAAGAGUCUGGAAUAACCGGCCGAAAGGCUGGCUAAUACUGGAUAGAGCGACGGAAUCCGUAAUUGGGUUUUUUCGGGAAAGGGAGGACGUAAGUCCCUUCGCUCUUUGAUGAGCCUGCGUCUCAUUAGGUAGUUGGUAAGGUAACGGCUUACCAAGCCUUUGAUGGGU
rnacentral:rRNA from 1 species